rnacentral:rRNA from 1 species
GAAUCUUAGACAAUGGGGGAAACCCUGAUCUAGCCAUGCCGCGUGAGUGAUGAAGGUCUUCGGAUUGUAAAGCACUUUCAGUUGGGCGGAAGGGCGUCAAGCUAAUACCUUGAUGUUUGGACGUUACCAACAGAAUAAGCACCGGCUAACUCUGUGCCAGCAGCCGCGGGAAUACAGAGGGUGCAAGCGUUAAUCGGAAUUACUGGGCGUAAAGCGCGCGUAGGUGGUUUGUUAAGUUGGAAGUGAAAUCCCCGGGCUCAACCUGGGAACUGCAUCCAAAACUGGCGAGCUAGAGUAGGGCAGAGGGUGGUGGAAUUUCCUGUGUAGCGGUGAAAUGCGUAGAUAUAGGAAGGAACACCAGUGGCGAAGGCGACCACCUGGGCUCAUACUGACACUGAGGUGCGAAAGCGUGGGGAGCAAACAG